ensembl:miRNA cin-mir-4016-1 cin-mir-4016-1
UCAAACUUAUUUUCAUGAUUAUAGAAGAGAAAUGAUUAUAGGAAGAGACCUUCUGUCAGUUUUUUGUUCUGUGAUCUUAAAGG